UGCGUCUGUACCGCCGCCAUCUUGGAACAGGGUUCUAAUCAGUUAUCUGUUCAUUUAACAUUAUGGCCACGCCAGUCGGUGAUCACUUUGUAAAGUUGAAGGAUAUUUGUGCCGCUAUGCUUGCAGCAACGAGAGGACGAAAAACAGCCAAAGAAGGUGUAACAUGAGAUGGCCCAAAAGAAGGAGCGAGGCGGGCAUGGGCUCUGGCUUUGAAGAGAGAGAGAGAGAGGUUUGUGCCAAAACAAUGCUGAUCUGAUGCUGCCACUUACCUCCUGAGCAAACUGUUCGGCUCAGAGAGCCAUCAAUUUCAACUUCAACUUCCCCAAACACUUGUCCAAGGGUAGUUCCAGUCCUGUGUUCCACUCUUCAUGGAGGGCAUGGGGUGACUGUCUGCGUUUGUGACCCUCCAGUCAGCAUUGAGUUGACGGGCUACAGACACUUGCAGUUGGAGAACAGGCUGUGAACUGCUGAUAUCCUGCGCCCUUCAGCACAGUGAGCGCCAGUGCCACAGAUCAACGCAAUGUUUGAGCUGCCACAGACACCUUCAUCUUCUGGCCAUCGAAGUCAACAUGCCUUCUGAUCACCUUGUUUUUGCUGCAUGAAGACCCUCAGGAUCCUGAACAUUAUUCAGAUCAACAAUGUGUUGCCAUUUAACUGUUCCAAAGGGACUGAUGAUAGGACCGUAAGCCUUGAGCAUAUUUCUAGCUAAUUUCCUGAUCAGGUAGAUAUCUUCCCCUGAGGAAGGGUGGGUAAAUGAGGUCUUCAGAGGCUGUUCUGGAUUUUACCAGAUAUGUUUCGACGGUAGGGUCACAGGGAUGUUGAUGUGUCAUGUGCUUUGAAAUGAGCUGAUGUUGUUAUGGAGGUGUGCCCUCCCUGUCAAUAUUGACAGGUUGGUCACACUUCCUACUGAGUUAUCCUUUUUGGAUGGUGGUCUAGGUGUGUGACUGCAUGUAUGCCCCCUCAUCCCUGUGAACAAAAACCAGGGAUGAGGGGGCAUACGUGCUCUAACACACCUGGCCCACCAUCCUAAAAUGACCACUCUAACAGCAGGAGGUUUGACCAAUAUCAACAGGGAGGGCACACCUCCACAACAACGUCAACUGAUUUUAAAGCACGUCACAUCAACAUCCCUGUGACCCUACCAUCGAAAUGUCUGAAGUACAUUGGUUAAUGGAUGGUUGUGGCGGGGUUCUGAUGUUGAUUGUGUAUAUAGUUGUCUUUUUUCAAUAAAUUGAAGUGUGGUCAGGA